rnacentral:lncRNA from 1 species
UCAAUGUCAUUCCCUCUACCAUGCAGCGGGCUCCCCUCUGCCAUCUCCAGCCGCCUGAAGCAGGGCCCAGCAUGAAUGAGACAGCUGGCAGAGUGAGAGCUGUGCUCACCACCUCAGCUCAGUGGCCCCCUGGGGGACCCGGGCCGUGACCUUGGCCUCAUUACUGCAUCGGACCUGUAAUCAGAUGCUUAGAAGGUCUGCAGAGAUCCACCCA